UAGGGAAUCUUCGGCAAUGGGGGGAACCCUGACCGAGCAACGCCGCGUGAGUGAAGAAGGUUUUCGGAUCGUAAAGCUCUGUUGUUAAGGAAGAACGAGUGUGAGAAUGGAAAGUUCAUACUGUGACGGUACUUAACCAGAAAGGGACGGCUAACUACGUGCCAGCAGCCGCGGUAAUACGUAGGUGGCAAGCGUUGUCCGGAUUUAUUGGGCGUAAAGCGAGCGCAGGCGGUCAAUUAAGUCUGAUGUGAAAGCCCCCGGCUCAACCGGGGAGGGUCAUUGGAAACUGGUUGACGUGAGUGCAGAAGAGGAGAGUGGAAUUCCAUGUGUAGCGGUGAAAUGCGUAGAUAUAUGGAGGAACACCAGUGGCGAAGGCGACUCUCUGGUCUGUAACUGACGCUGAGGUUCGAAAGCGUGGGUAGCAAACAGG
rnacentral:rRNA from 1 species